AAUUAAUUUUUUGUUUCAGAUCUAAGAUGAUUUAAUAAAUAAUAUUAAAAUAUUUUAUUCCACUGACCAGGCUUUUUUAUAAAAGGCUCAAAUUUAAUAACUUUGAUGCAAUCGCACACAAGUGUUCAUUGAAAGACGAAAAUGCGUAUUCGCAAAAAAGCCGCAAUUCUUGGAACCAGUUUCCUUGUCGGAGGAUUCCUUUUCAUUUAUUUACUAUUGGAGGAACCACAGCCAAAUCUUGAUGGAGCUCCUCAGGUUCAGAAAGCUGAUUUUGGUAAUCUGGAGCAGAAACUUAAAAAUUUAGAGUCGGACCUGGAACAGAACGCGAAUAUAAUCUCGGAUCUCAAGGUUGCAGUCAAGAAUAUUGUGAGUGCUAACAAGAAGAACAAGAUUAAAACAGGAGAAGUUCAUGUGAAUAAAACCCUUGCCUCCGUGAACAGAUUAGAUGGAGUAUUUGCCCAGACCCAACCCUCGACCUGUGAUAUUCAGAUGGAAAAGGUUUAUGAUAAAUUAGAAUUUGACAAUCCCGAUGGCGGAGUCUGGAAGCAAGGCUGGGAUAUUAACUAUAAAGAGGAUCAAUGGGAUAAUGAUCCAUUACAGGUGUUCAUUGUUCCGCAUUCUCACAACGAUCCUGGAUGGAUUAAAACAUUUGAAAGUUAUUACAAAGAUCAAACUAAUAAGAUUUUGUCGAUGAUGGUGAAGAAACUAGUUGAGUUUCCUACAAUGAAGUUUAUUUGGGCGGAAAUAUCUUACCUUUCUCUGUGGUGGGCGGAGCAAAAUCCAGAGGUGCGAAGUACAGUCCAUCGUCUGCUAGAAGAGGAGAGGUUGGAGAUUGUUACUGGAGGCUGGGUUAUGCCAGACGAGGCCAGUACUCAUUAUACAGCUAUGCUGGAGCAGCUUAUUCAUGGACAUGAGUGGUGUCAUCAGAAUCUUCAAGGUUACCAACCUAACAGUGGUUGGUCGAUAGAUCCUUUUGGAAUGUCUCCAACUAUGAGCUAUAUUCUCAAAAGAGCUGGCCUGGAUAAUAUGCUUAUACAGAGAACACAUUACUCGGUCAAAAAGAAACUAGCAAAGGACAAAAAUCUUGAGUUUAAUUGGCGUCAGCACUGGGAUCAUAACUCCACUAGUGAUAUGUUCUGCCACAUGAUGCCGUUCUACAGUUACGAUGUUCCGCACACAUGUGGACCUGAUCCCAAGAUUUGCUGCCAGUUUGAUUUCCUCAGAUUACCAGGAAGUCGAGCAAGUUGCCCCUGGAAUGUGCCUCCACGUAAAAUAUCGGCUGAGAACGUAGAGUCCAGGUCCUUGAUGCUGCUGGACCAGUACAGGAAGAAGUCCACGCUAUACCGGUCCAAUGUAGUCCUCAUUCCUCUUGGAGACGAUUUCAGGUGGGAUGGAGAGAAGGAAUGGAAUGAUCAGUAUACUAACUAUCAGAUGAUUAUUGACCAUGUCAACUCCAAUCCUAGACUCAACGCUAAAAUACAGUGGGGAACACUUACAGAUUACUUCAAAGCAGUAAGAGCUAAAUCCUUGGCUAAAACUGGAGAUGAGACACGAAUGUUCCCAACCUUGUCCGGUGAUUUCUUUACUUAUGCAGACCGAGAUGAUCACUAUUGGUCUGGAUACUUUACAAGCAGACCUUUCUGGAAAUCCAUGAAUAGGAUACUAGAGCACUACCUCAGGGGAGCUGAGAUCUUGUUCUCCUUGUCCUGGGCAGAGAUGGAAUACAUUGGUUCAGAUAAAACAGAUCUUGCCAAGGAAUGUAUUGCUAAAUUGGUGUAUGCUCGUCAAUCUCUAGGAUUAUUCCAACAUCAUGAUGGUAUUACAGGAACAGCAAAGGACCAUGUUGUGCUUGACUAUGGACAGAAAAUGCUUCUGAGUAUCAAGGCAAUGCAGUUUGUUAUUCAGCAGUCCACUAACUUUCUUCUUACAACUAAAAAACCUAACUAUACGCCCAGGACUGACACCGCCUACUUUGACCUAGAUGACCUAAGAUCUGAAUCCUGGUCUAUUCCUAAGAAAACUGUGAUUGACGUGGAUAACGCUGGUGGUUUGAGUCGGCUGGUUAUAUACAACAGCCAAGCUAGAAAACGGCAGGAGAUGGUCACUGUUCGCGUCUCUAGUCAUAAUAUAAAGGUGUAUAUGAUGAGUAAGAUUGAAGAUGAGUAUCAGGAUGGGGGUAGGGAGGAGGAGGAGGAGGUGGAACUACCCUGUCAAAUAUCUCCUGUAUUUAUCAAGGAUGGAGAAAUAUCUAACUCAGAGUACGAAUUGACCUUUCUAGCUAAUGUGCCUGCUCUGGCCCUGGAAACCUACUUCCUACGAGGGGUUGGAACUGAGGAGAGUAGAGUAGAGGAACUCAGUGUUCCUACAGUCAGGAUAAUUAACUCAGACAAGGAACCAUAUCAGAUUGCUCCGUUCUCUUCUGUAACUCUGAUGAAACCUGAACCAUUUACUUUGGCAAAUACAUACUUAAAGGCUAAGUUUGGAAGUACAGGUUUACUGGAGGGUUUAACAAACCUGGAUACUGGAGAAACUACUCCAACCCGUCUACAGUUUAUCAAGUAUGGAGCUAGGUCCCAAGGGGAGCGGAGUGGAGCCUACCUCUUCCUACCUGAUGGUCCUGGAUCCGUUGUUCAGUUCCAGGAUCCUGUCAUUAGGAUAGUCCAGGGCAAACUAAUGUCGUACGUUGAGGUAGUAUCUGCUUGGUUGACCCAUCGUGUUUUCCUGCUCAACUCCCCUGGAGUAGAUGGUACUGGGCUCAGUAUACAGAACGAUAUAGAUCUCACCUCCCGUAGGAUGGAUAACUCGGAGAUAUCAAUGCGGUUUACUUCAGGGAUAGAUUCCAAGGAUAUUUUUUACACGGAUCUAAACGGUUUCCAGAUGAUUCGGAGAAAACAUUAUUCUAAGCUGCCCCUUCAAGCCAACUGGUAUCCUGUUGCUACACUCAUGUAUAUUCAGGAUGAGAAGAAUAGACUGUCUCUAGUUUCCAGAUCUCCCCUAGGCGGCAGCAGUCUCAACUCUGGUGAACUGGAGAUAAUGCUGGAUAGAAGAUUAGCACAGGAUGAUAAUAGAGGAUUAUUCCAGGGGGUUCAGGAUAAUAAGGUGACUCGACAUCAGUUCUUCCUUGUUCUUGAGAAGCAGGUUGAAGGAUGUAUCGAGGAACCUGAAGGACCAGCUUCUUAUCCUUCUCUUCUAGUUCUUUCAAUCCGACACUCCAUACUUAAUCCAUUCUUCAGGUUGAUCUACCUAUCUGGGAAUGGUAACUCCUUGUCUACUAAGUAUACUGCUGUACACAAGGACCUGGAUUGUGAUAUUCAUCUUAUUAAUCUUAGAACAAUGACGUUUAAUACUUACAGUCCGACACCAAGUGAUAAAUCUGCUUUAAUCAUCCACAGACAAGGAUUUAAUUCCUGUUAUAAACCGGUGGGGCUAACCUGCCAAACAAGUGGGGGAAAGGUUAGUUUAGACGAAAUGUUCCCAACCCUGUACAGCAGUUCAGUUAACCAGGUGUCUCUCUCCUUAAUGUAUGAAGGGAUGAAGAUGGAGAAAGCAUUUACAGUUUCUAUCCAGCCCAUGGAGAUGUAUUCAUUCAUACUUUCCAGAUGAUCCAGACUACAAACCUUAGAGAGAUUACUGCAUUCACGUACAUUUUAGAGUCUGACAAUAAACAAGAAAGAAAGAAGAAAAUAACUUUCAUUUACCCACAUAAACUUAGGAAAAUGGGAUUUACCUGACAUUUUUAUACGAAUGAUAUUGUAUAUAUAUCCAUUUUAAACAUUACAAUAUGCAUGGUUACCGAAUUAUGAUUAUAAUGAUAUUUACAUAAAUGUGACAGCAUGACGAAUCCGCGAAACUGUCGAAAUAAAACAAACUGCAGAAAAUUGAA
rnacentral:misc_RNA from 1 species